rnacentral:tRNA from 7 species
GCCGCCAUGGCGGAACUGGCAGACGCACAUGACUCAAAAUCAUGCGGGCAACCGUGUGGGUUCGAUUCCCACUGGCGGCACCA